UACGUAGGGGGCAAGCGUUGUUCGGAAUUACUGGGCGUAAAGGGCGCGUAGGCGGCACGGCAAGUCAGGAGUGAAAGCCCGGGGCUCAACCCCGGAAUGUCUUUUGAAACUGCCGAGCUAGAGUGCGGAAGAGGCAACUGGAAUUCCCAGUGUAGCGGUGAAAUGCGUAGAUAUUGGGAAGAACACCUGAGGCGAAGGCGGGUUGCUGGGCCGACACUGACGCUGAGGCGCGAAAGCGUGGGGAGCGAACCGG
rnacentral:rRNA from 1 species